AUCAGAAUGCCACCGGGUAUUCAAGAUGCAGCUAAGCAUCCGUAUACACAUCGUUAGGUCUUUGAAGAUGUGUAUACGGAUGCUUUUUUCAG
rnacentral:ncRNA from 1 species